AGGACACCCCUUGGAGCUGGAUGUGUGGCCAUGCCAGGGGAAGAGGGAGCAGGAGCUGCUCUCGUGGCGGGGGAUGCGGGUGAAAAGCUCCAGGGACUGGAGGCCGAACAGGGUGGAGAUCCCCCAAGCCGCGUCUGGCACCUUCUUCCUCCCAGCGCCGUCAACGGGCGCGACUUCCCCAAACCGAGCUGAGCAGCCUUUUGGAGGAGGGGGUUGUGAUUGGUGAGACGACGGAGCCAGCGCUGCGCUUAAAGCCUCGGGGCGGACGAGGAAGCGUCAGGCACACGGAGAGCCCCGCCAGCCCCGGACCAUGCGGCCCCUGCAGCGCCUCCGCCCGCUCCUCCUGCUCGCCCUGCUCGCCCUCUGCAUGUCCCUCUGCCAGGCGCAGGAGGAGAAGCAGCCUCCAAAAGAGACUCCGCGCACCAACGCAACGACCAGCGCCAGCCUGAACCCCCCCUGCGGGAGCCCCCCGCUCCUCUCCCUCGCCCUGGGGGUGGUCGCAGCCUUCCUCCUGCAUCUGCGCUGACCGGGAGGGGGUCACCGUGCACCCCCCUCCUCCCCGGAUCCCCCAAGAAGAACCCCAAGAAACAACCCCCCUCCAGGAUGACAUCCCCUUCACCGGCAGCACCGCGGCAUCGCUCCCGUCCACCCCUACCGCCCUCCGCUCCCCUCGGCCCGGCGUGAGACCCCCGGCCCGGGAGCGGAGCAAUAAACGUGCUGGUGUCGAGA